AUGAACGCUGGCGGCGUGCCUAAUACAUGCAAGUCGAGCGAACCACUUCGGUGGUGAGCGGCGAACGGGUGAGUAACACGUAGGUGAUCUGCCCAUCAGACGGGGACAACGAUUGGAAACGAUCGCUAAUACCGGAUAGGACGAAAGUUUAAAGGUGCUCCUGGCACCGCUGAUGGAUGAGCCUGCGGCGCAUUAGCUAGUUGGUAGGGUAAAGGCCUACCAAGGCGACGAUGCGUAGCCGACCUGAGAGGGUGAACGGCCACACUGGGACUGAGACACGGCCCAGACUCCUACGGGAGGCAGCAGUAGGGAAUCUUCGGCAAUGGGCGAAAGCCUGACCGAGCAACGCCGCGUGAAUGAUGAAGGCCUUCGGGUUGUAAAAUUCUGUUAUAAGGGAAGAACGACUUUAGUAGGAAAUGGCUAAAGUGUGACGGUACCUUAUGAGAAAGCCACGGCUAACUACGU
rnacentral:rRNA from 1 species